GAUUCCUUGCUUCAGUAUAUCAUAUAUUAAUGUGGAACAAUACAGAAAAGAUUAACAUGGCCCCUACACAAAAAUGAAAUGCAAAUUUGUCAAAAGUUCCAUAAUUUU
rnacentral:snRNA from 1 species